rnacentral:lncRNA from 1 species
AGAACCACAGCUUUGGACAAAAGUCUAUAGCCAGUGCAUUUGAAAACUCCCCUUGCACCAGGGCUGACUGUAGCUGGGGGAAGACAUUUUACUCAUUUGCUCUUUCCUUUCAUACAGUCAGCUGGUCCCUCUUCUCAGGUGUAGAUCACCUAUUAUAAUUUUACCUAAUUUUGAUACUCUGAUAAGGAAAGUCCCAGGACUUAUCAGCUGGGAUAGGCCUCACUUACAAGACAGCUCUGUUCAGUAUUUGGAAGAAAGCCUGACAGGUUUCUUCGGAAAAGUGGCCAUCCAUGGAAUGAAUGAAAUGUUCUCUUUCUAUUCCAGGGAUUGCAGUGGCAAAGCUAGGCUAGGUCUUGGAGGCUGGUGUAAGGCGAUGUGGGUGAAGGCAGGAGGCUGAUGGAAAGACUGGGGGGAAGAAAAGCCGAAAUGGAUUCACGGUGCCUUGGAUGAAGGACGAGAGGGGAACUGCAAGCUCCUUCAACUGGUUCUGUCCGGUGAGAAGUGAUCAAGCUUGGGCUGACAAGAGGCUCAGGGAGCCCUCACGUUCUUUCGCUUUUUUACCUGCCAAUCAAACUGCUACAAGACAACACCCUGAUCUGGCAUGGACAUCGCGGGUCCAAGCCUGUAGCCCCAAAUCGGAUAAUCUCUGCAGCUGAUAACAAGCAAAAGAGAAGCCAGGCAACAGCCAUAUUAAAGAAGAAAACAAUCAACUCUGAGCUCACCAACUUCUCAAACCUUGAUUCUAAAAAGAAAAAUAGGCCAGGCGCAGUGGCUCACACCUGUAAUCCCAGCACUUUGGGAGGCUGAGAUCCAACUUAGAAAUAAUGUUUCAUUCAAGAUAAGGCUCGUGGCUUAGGAGAUUGUGACCUGGCUUGCAUCAUUCUAAGACUUCUAUCGUCUGUUUUCAAAACCCAAGGAGGACCUCCUUUUCUGUGUGAUAGUUCCUCAUGCUUUGCCAGCCACUGGGUCUUUAAGGAAGCUUGCCAAGAGUUCCCGGCUGGGAAGGACAGUUCGAGUUCAUCAUAGACAAUGAGCUGGCACCACAGUUUAAGUGACUCACCAACCUGGUUGCCCACUUCAAAAUGUCAAGAACCACACUAUCUAAUUGAAAGAACUGUGUUUUAGCAAAGUGUAAUUGGAUCGCCUGGCAAGAUCAUCUCAAACUAUGUCUCUGACCUUGCCUUUCAGUGGCUAUUUUGAGCACAAGAGGAGAAAGGAAAUGAUUCCUGAAUUAUAUCUUGUUUUUAAAAAUUAAGAUUAAUUAAUACUUGGUUUUAUGUUCAUUCCAUUGUAGGAACUUAGUGAUUAUUACAAAACAGUCAAAAUAGGUCAUAGCAAAAUGAACGUUUAAGAUUAGGUUAAAACAUUCCUCUGAAAUUUUAGUAUUCACUUUUGAAGUGUCAAUUACUAUAUUUCUGUAAUUUCUCAUUUUUUUCUUGGCUUAGAGUCAAGAUGAAAAAUGAUAUUUGAAUCAAAGACAUUGUUUUGUUAUAUAGCCACUCCUUUCUAAAAUGCAAAUCCACCCUCCCCUCACCAAUGCUUUAUUCUUUGUGCGCGCACACACACACACACACACACACACACACACACACACACACAGACAUACACAGAACCAGCACCCAAAUGGUAGAGGAGGUCCUUCCAAGACUUCUAGGACCUGGAUCAUGUAAGCAGUAGAUGAGAAAAUGAAGUAAGAGAUAUAGAGUAAUAACAAUAAAAGUCAAUGAUUUCAUUUUACAAAAAAGUCAUUGUGUAGUACUCAGAUAUUUUUAAGAGCAAGUAUUAUUAUGACUAAAGUAUAUUAUACUUCUAAAUUAUUAUGAUUCUCAUCUAAUUUCAAGCCACACAUAGGCGCCAUUUGAAAGCAUUUUGUGUUACAACCUAUCAACAAAAAUCAACUAAUAGUUUUAUAACGUGCAUAGGUUUACCCCAUGGGGAAUUAAAAUUUUUAUCUGCAAGUAUUUCUGUUGUUGUGAGACUUUAGGACAAGACAACAUUUGGUGUUAACAUAGAAGAAUAUUCUAUGGCUUUUUUAGCUUUAA